CGCAUUAAAUUUUUAUAUAGUAGUAUUAGAAUAUUUUCAGAAUACAUUAUCUGUAGCCUAUUACGUUGCCAACCAUCUAUACUAGUAUAUCAUUGAUUACAUGUUAAAUUUGUAAUCCAAAAUAAUAGGACACGGCGGCCGUAGCAUAAAAAUUUGCCUUGUUUUUUCAUUCUUACUACAUUACAAGAAAACUUAAACCAUUGCAAAGUAAAAUGCAGCAGAGUAACCUUUGCUUCCAAGUCAUCUUCUUCUUCAUAGAACAAUCAAGAGGCCAUGUUUACAACCCUGCAAUUUGGACAAAAACAGAAGGAAAGUCAAAUGCAUGCUACUACAACUACAACUAAGAAAUGGAACUAUUGGUGUCAUUCAACUUUAGCAAUCACAGUUUCCAAGUAGCAAUCCUCAAUUUCCUAUCGGUGUCACGCCUAAAUAUUUUCGAAUGAAACUUACUAGGUUUUACACACGUCAUCUUGGGAAGUGGCUGUCUGUGGCAGAACACAAAUUUUGAUUGCUCAGAUGAUCGGCAAUGGAUCUAGGAACUUCAUAUAACUAUUGUUGUGUUUCUCUUAGAAAACUAUGGAUUUGUUUUCUAGAAAAACUUGUUCGAAAUGUGCAAAAGUAACACCAGGGAUGUGAGAGCUAAUAGCAGCAAGGCCACAUUGGGACAAUAUUUUGGAUAAUAUUAAGCAUAAUCCGUCCCAAUAUUUUGAUUUCUUCAUCAAGUAUAGAUGCAAAUAGAAAAUUUAGGCGCAAUAAAAUUUACUCAAAAUCAUCAAACAUCCUUCCUCACAUUGGGACGGAUUAUGCUUAAUAGUAUGGACAUAUAACAAAACUAAUCUACCCCUUUAAAAUACACACACGCAAAAAGAAAAAAAAAAACUAAAUUCAGCAAUACCUGGUUAUGUUGCUGUCUCGGCGGAAGAAGGAGGCGGCAAUUCUCUACGAAGCUCCUUAACUACGGCGGCCAAAGAUUCUGGGUUGAUACCCAUUUCACAGAGAGCGAUCAGAAUCGAAAGAGUGUGGCGAUCCAAACCAGUUUCGAGAAUGUUAGACAUGUGAAACGCUAAGUCCAGAGAAUCCCGCGCAGUUCUUGCUGCUUCUUGAUCCAUGCCCUACACCAAUUUUUUUUUGCUUUUUAGACUUUUACACAAUCAAUCAAAACCUUUUUAGAACUCGAUCUACCAGUGUGAGCAAGAAUGAAGAUUCGGUUUAUGCAACCGAGAAUUCAUCUUUUGGGGGAAAUUCGAGUUCGGCAAUGUAGUGGGCCGAAAAAUCAUGGCCCAUUUGUGGAAAACAGUGGAUACACAUAAGUACAACAAACCCAAAACGACAGGGAGAGUGGAGGGCUGGCAAACGAAGGAGAGGGAAUAAAAGUGCCCUUCUACAUUUUAACAACAUAUGCAUACACGUAUAUGUCAUUCAUGUGCCAACUUACAUAUAUUAUAGAUUGUUAUUUUGGGCUACUGAAGCAAAGGUAGAAAACAAUACACCUCUUUUGUCACCUCUAUAGUCUUGUAAUCACAUUUAUCAAAAACAUGGCUACAAUGUAGCGAUCCACUAAUUUACAGAACCUAAAAUUUCACUGGAACUUCAGAGCAUAAAUCAUGAUUAUAGUUUGGGGGUGAGUUCAUUCUGAGCAAUCAUGUUAAACUAGAGAACUAGAGAAGAACUAGAGAAGAUGCAGAGAUAGACGGGCCGUUAAACUAAAGUGCACGAUCAGAUUCAGAAAUCCAGCAACUAAAGGCAAAUGCAGGAAAAUAGAAGCAAUACCUCGGCUACGAGCAGAUCUGCGGCCGGCAGGGUGCAGGCGGUGCGGCGACGCUGUGCAAGCUCUGGAGCAGGCGGCGAGCAGAUCUGCGGCCGGAAGGGUGGGGAGGCGCGGUGCAGAUGCAGGCUCUGGAGCAGGGGCGGCGACCGGUGCAGAUGCAGGCGGCGAUGCAGGCUCUGGAGCAGGCGCGGCGACCGGUGCAGAUCAGAUGCAGCAGCGACAGCAGCAGCAGCAGCGCGCAGAACAGCAGAGGCACCGCGGUGUUGGGGGAGACGGGUGGGGCAGCGGCGAGUCGGCGACGGGUGGAUGCAGGCUUGGAGAUUGGGGGCUUCUUGGCUUCAAGCUGUGCGGCGCAGAUUAGGAAUGAGGAAUUAGGAAAUAGGAGGCGCUGAUUAGGGUUUAGG
rnacentral:lncRNA from 1 species